AUGUGGGAGAGUUCGUUGCGUUAUGCGCGGCGACGCCGAAGGAGCAACUCCUCCCCGAAAACCUCUCAGGCCACAAGGACCGCAUGG
rnacentral:ncRNA from 1 species